GCCUGGGUGGCUCAGUCGGUUGAGCGUCCGACUUCGGUUCAGGUCAUGAUCUCGCGGUUCGUGGGUUCGAGCCCCGCGUCGGGCU
rnacentral:tRNA from 1 species